UUGGAGGGCAAGUCUGGUGCCAGCAGCCGCGGUAAUUCCAGCUCCAAUAGCGUAUAUUAAAGUUGUUGCAGUUAAAAAGCUCGUAGUUGAAUUUCGGGAUUGACACAUCGGUCGUGCCUUAAGGGGUAUGAACCGGUGUAGUCAAUUUCUCACCUUCUGGAGAACCGCGAUGCCCUUAAUUGGGUGUCGCGGGGAACCAGGACCUUUACUUUGAAAAAAUUAGAGUGUUUAAAGCAGGCAUUUUGCUUGAAUACAUUAGCAUGGAAUAAUAAAAUAGGACGGCAUGAUUCUAUUUUGUUGGUUUCUAGGAUCACCGUAAUGAUUAAUAGGGAUAGUUGGGGGCAUUAGUAUUCAAUUGUCAGAGGUGAAAUUCUUGGAUUUAUUGAAGACUAACUACUGCGAAAGCAUUUGCCAAGGAUGUUUUCAUUAAUCAAGAACGAAAGUUAGGGGAUCGAAGACGAUCAGAUACCGUCGUAGUCUUAACCAUAAACUAUGCCGACUAGGAAUCAGACGAUGUUAAUUUUUUAAUGACUCGUUUGGCACCUUACGGGAAAC
rnacentral:rRNA from 1 species